rnacentral:rRNA from 1 species
CAGCCCUUGACAUCCUGUGUUACCCGUAGAGAUAUGGGGUCCACUUCGGUGGCGCAGAGACAGGUGCUGCAUGGCUGUCGUCAGCUCGUGUCGUGAGAUGUUGGGUUAAGUCCCGCAACGAGCGCAACCCUCGCCCUUAGUUGCCAGCAUUCAGUUGGGCACUCUAAGGGGACUGCCGGUGAUAAGCCGAGAGGAAGGUGGGGAUGACGUCAAGUCCUCAUGGCCCUUACGGGCUAGGCUACACACGUGCUACAAUGGUGGUGACAGUGGGCAGCGAGCACGCGAGUGUGAGCUAAUCUCCAAAAGCCAUCUCAGUUCGGAUUGCACUCUGCAACUCGAGUGCAUGAAGUUGGAAUCGCUAGUAAUCGCGGAUCAGCAUGCCGCGGUGAAUACGUUCCC